rfam:Pteropus alecto contig167134, whole genome shotgun sequence.
GUCUAUGGCCAUGCCACCCUAAACAAGUCCAAUGUCUGAUCUUGGAAGCUAAGCAGGGUCAGGCCUGGUUAGUAUUUGGAUGGGAGACCACCCAGGAAGACCAGGUGCUGUAGGCA